rnacentral:tRNA from 1 species
GCCUAGUUAGCUUAGUUGAUGGUGCGUCUGCCUUGUAAGCGCUAGGCCGCGGGUUCGAUUCCCGCCCGGGGCG